UAUAUAUAUAUAUAUAUAUAUAUAUAUAUAUAUAUAUUUAAAUAAACUAAAACAACAUAAGUAACACAAACUAAUUACAAAUUGAAAAAGUCAUCAUCAUCAUCAUCUUCCGCUGUGAUCGCUUGAAUCUUGUGUUGAAUUGUUUCCAGAAAAUUUGAAAUUCAUUAUACUUAUCAGCAAGAAAAAUGUCUUUCGCUGCAAUUUUCAUUUCUUCUAGUGAUUUUCGAUGUUUCAUUGUUUCAUAUAUAUGUUAUCUUCCUAAUCACCAUAACACCAUGACUCGACAACUUACUAGACAGUGAAUUAGGUGGUGCCGCUGAAAUUGAAGGCUUCAUAAUAAAAUUCAACAAAUUUAUGAAUUCGAAAACCAAGACACUGGAAUGACACAACGUUCUAAAUGAAUACGAAAAGAUGCGGAGUGCGACGACUGUUCUUUGUUUUACCUAAAUUUUGACUGUAGUCACAACCGUGGCAAACUGCGGCAACUAAACUUUUAAGCUACUUUUCUACCAAAAAUCAGGUUUUUUUAAAAUUUUCUUAGUGUCAGGCCUACUAUAACCAAAUUUUACAAUAUCUAAUGAAAAGGGUUUGUUUUGCACAAUAUUUACAACAACUUUUCCUUUGACGUCAAAAAAAUCCAAGCUAUCCUUGAAGCUACAGAGCGUUUCAAAGUAAUGUACUUUUUUCAAAAAAAAAACCAAAAAAUUCAGAUUUCAUGAUUUUGCACCCAAAUUUUGGAUUUAGACACUUGAAUGUUAUAGCAAUAAAGGAAAAAUAUUAUGAAACAGCUAACGAAAAUAAAAUUUUUUUUUGGCUGAUGGCCAGCGAUUCCCCACUGUGCAUAGCAAUGGAUAGCGCACCAGUUGCAGCGGAUCUCAGCAUCGAUAGCAGCUAGGCCAACUGAUGCAGGGGCAGCGGAUACCAAUGGUAGCGUAUAGCGGCCACAACUGUGGCAUGGCUAUUGAUAGCGUAAUAGUUGCAGAGGGUAUAUCUGACCAUGAAGCAUUUAUGUAAUAGUUGAAUGAAAGUUGCAAUUGCAGCAAUCGCCCUUUUUCAAGGCUACUAAAUGUAUUUGGAAGAGCUGAAUGAAUGGUUAUUAAUAAACUGCAACUAAGGUUUGAUGCUGCUGCAAAUGCACAGCAGUAUGAUGUUUAUUACGAUUUGUUGAUACUGUGCUUAACAAGCGGUAUAUACGAAACAAAUCCGAUUUAGAAAUGACUGACACGCAAGCAGCCGGGUUAUCUUUCUUGUAAAAGUAUUCUACUUCAACCUUGCGGUCGUGGCUUUGCACACAACCCUCCUGUGAUUUUUUCGUUCCGUUUUGUUUUCACUUUGUUUUGCAUCGUUUCUUUCCGACUGUUUAGUUUUUUGAGCGUUUUAUCAAAAAAUACUAUUUUUAAUAAUUUUCAGGACAAAAAUCAGUUCGCAGCUACAGAUUGCUUGACAAAAUGAAAAUCUUUUACUAGAAAUGUUACCGUUUUUUUUUUUUGAAUUUUGUUGGCUUCCGGAGCACUUUACGAAUUUUACCCGAAAACGUUUCAACAGCCAUAACUAUUUUAAUCAUUUUAAAGAUAUUGUCUUUUCUGGUCGACUUCGAACGUUUCAUUUUAUCGUUUGUUUCUUCAAUAAUAAUAUUUUUUCGACUAUUUGGAACUUUUUAUUUUUUUUUAUUUUUGGCAAUUUUGGGUUUUGUGGCGGAUUGACUAGCAGGAAAAUAUUUUAAUUCGUUUUACUUCAUUAGGCUAUUGCUCUGUGUCCAUAAUUGGGUCAUUAUUAAUUAUGAAGGUUCAGUUUUCAGUUAGUUCAAGUUAGCACCGGGAAAACAAUCUAGCAACGAACGAAGAACUAAACAGACUAACGAUCGGAAACUCGGAACAUGGAACUGCCGAUUAUUCGAUAUCUAUUGGAAGCACUUGAGUACUUGCCGAUGAAUUGAAGAGUCGCAAGUUAGAUAUCUUAGCACUGCAUAAGGUGUGCUGGAAAGAUUCUACGGUACGUACGUUCCGGGAUGGUCUUACCAUCUACCAGAGUUGCGGCAAUACACAUGAGCUGGGUAUCGGCUUUUAUCGUAAUGGACGAGAUGCAGAAGCCCGAAAGUGCCAGUUGAGGACCAAAGGCCGGUUUUUCAAUGAUAGCAUCAGCAAUAUGCACAACCCUCACCUCAGAAGCACCGAGGGCAGCUGGAGGGCGAAUACGACCGCUGCCCAACACAUGAUAUCAAGAUCAUCAUUGGGGGAUUCAUCGCUCGAAUCGGCCAGGAGGAGGAGUUUAAACCGGUAAUUGGAAAGUUCAGCGUGCAACAGCUGACCAACAACCUUGUCACCUCUAAGAAUAUGGCCGUACAGGGUGCGCCAUAAUUACUGCAACAAAAAUGCAAAGUUGGUUUGCGGGUCGAUAUUUAUUAGGCCCAGAAAACGAAUAACAAUCAGAGCUGGACCUUCAUGCAAGACGGUGCCCCGGCUCACUCAAAGAAGACCGUUCAAGACUGGUGCAAAUCCAACUUUCCCUCUGUCAUCACCAAGGAUGAGUUGCCUACAAACUCGCCAGAUCUCAACGUGAUAGACUUCUCGAUUUGGGGGAACAAAUUUGGAAGAAUUGAAGAAGUCUCUGCUCAAUUUACUGGAAGGAAAUUCCACAAAAUGACUACGGUCCUCCGUCGAGUCUUACCAUAAGCGUCUCCGAGCUGCCAUCAGAGCUAAAGGAGGACACAUUGCCACAACUUCCCACAUCGAUAUACCUGGAGGUCACCAAAUCAAACAGAAUCGCAAAUCGAUCACGUAUUGAUAAAUUAUCGGCACUUCUCGGAUAUCACCGGCGUCAAAACUUACCGAGGCGCCAACAUCAAUUCGGACCACUACCUAAUAAUCGAUCGAAGACUCGAUACCUGCGCCCGCCACGUUACAAUCUCGUGCGACUGAGACAAAUCGACGUCGCUGAAAAAUACGCGCAUUGGAAGCAUCGCUGCCGGAAGAGGGCGAGUUAGCUAAGCCAUCAACAUGUGAACGAAAUCGACUGAAUGAGUGGUUUGACGAUGGUUUUGGACGAGAAGAACGCUGCGCGGGUACUAAUGUUGCGUCGAGCUAUCCAUCAGAACGUGGAACGACAUAGCUACAACAGGAGACAGCAAAACCAACUUUUCCUAGAGGAAAAGCGCCGCCAUGAAGAGAAGGAGCUCGUGGUACUAGAACAGCUAAAUUACUCUCAUGAGACGCGAAAGUUUUACCAGGAACUCAACGCAACCCGCACAGGUUUUGUGCUGUGAUAAUGAAGGGAAAAUUCUGGUGGUCGAUCGUGAGGUGACCGGAAGGUGAAAGCAGCUCUUCGAUGAACACUCGAAUGGCGUACAGUAAAAGUGCCGAGACGGCGAUGGAAAUGUCAUCAUCGAUGGAACAGCGCAAAACUGCAAAUCGGCCGGCAAAAUGGUGCCGGAGCGGAACUUACCAAGAUGGGCUCGGAUAAGUUGGCCGAGUGCAUGCAUCGAUUGAUUGUUAAUAUCUGGCAUAUCGAACAGCUGCCGGAGGAGUGAAAGGAUGGGUUUAUAUGCCCUAUCUACAAAAAGGGCGGCAAAUUGGACUAUCGUGCGAUCACCAUCUUGAAUGCCGCCUACAAAGUAUUUUCCCAAGAAAUCUUCCAACGUCUGUUGCCACUAGUAAAUAGAUUCGUGGGAAUUUACCAAGCUGGCUUCGUAGAAGGCCGGCCAACAACGGACCAGAUCUUCACUUUGCGGGAGAUCCUUCAAAAGUGUCGCGAGCACAGAGUCCCUACCCACCAUCAUUCAUCGAUUUUGAAGCCGCAUAUGAUAAAAUUGACCGGAAAGAGAUCCGACUGAUUAAGGCUACGAUGGAUGGAAACGAUGGGUGGAUUAUCCGGUGCAAUCUCGCAGUGGACUUCGGCAAGGUGAUGGUCUCUCUUACCUACUGUUCAACGUUGCCCCAGAAGUACAUAGUUAUGCGACGAGUGCACAGUGUUUUAUUUUGCCGUUUUCGUGCGAUUAAUUGAAUAGCGACGAAAAUGUUUAUUAUAGCCAUAAUGUAUGUUCGGAGAAGUUUCAAGAUAUUCAAAAAUGCAUCUUACGAGGUAGGAAGAUGAGUGAUCAAUCCACCUAAAAGUGAGAUAGAAAAUUUACUUUUUCAUCAGAUUGAGAUAGACGCGUGUAAAGUUUUCUAUGAAAAGGCACUGAAAUUUUCAAUUUUCGUUAUAACUUUUUUCUCAGAUUUUUCCGAGUUUUCGAAUCUUCUACAAAAUUAUCAGGCAUCCGAAAAUGCCUGUUUAUGCUAAACAUUGUUAUUUUUUUUCUCCUAAAAUAAAAAAGUUAUUGGACAUAUUUCGAUAUUUUGGGAAUACUUCCACCUCAACCAUCUUCAAAAUACGCACUUUUACGCAAUUGGUAGUUCCAUACGAUGAAAUAAUUAUCUUUAGACUUUUAAUUAAAGGUACAAACUUUUGUAUGUAAGAGUAUGUAAGUAGCCUUUUCGUCUGUUUUUCAAAGCGAUGACGAUUUUUGUAUACAAAAAUAUAAAAAAAAACAAGUUUUGAGUUUCGAAGGAGGCACUUAGCGAUCUUGAGUUAAGCAUGCAUGCAUGCUUCGAUAAGGUUCGAAAAAAUGGAAAAUAUUUUAGAAAUAGAUUAACUAAAAAUUGAGUUUUUUCGGUAUAUUUAGUUAUGUUCAGUAAUGUAAGCGUGGAUGAAAAUAGUAGCUUCUUUCCAAAUUCCAUUUAUUGUUCUUCCCCGAUUUCAAAAGGGGCGAGCAAGAUUUCGCGUCUUUAAUGUCCACUUUUGGCUAUCCACGUGCUUCUGUGAUAAGAGGAACCUGCGAUAUGAGCAACUAAUGCAGUAGAUCCUCGUGAGCGCUUUUACGGAAUAUCUUAUGAUAUUCUCGAUAUCUGAAGAUGAAAUCUCUGCGCGCCUCUUUUAAAAUCGGGGAAGGAGGAUAAAUGGAAAUCGAAAAGAAGCUACUAUUUCUAUCGACGCUUUCAUUGUUGAAUAUAACUGAAUAUGAGAACAAAUCAAUUUUUGCAUGUAAAAAUCAGCAUGAAGCAUCAGCUUCGAAAAACAGACGAAAAGGCUGCUUACAUACUCUUACAUUCAAAAGUUUGUACCUUUAAUUGAAAGUCUAAAGAUAGUUAUUUCAUCCUAUGAAGCUGCCACUUGCGUAAAAUUGCGUACUUUGGAGCUGGUUGAGGAGAAAGUAUUCCCAAAAAUAUCGAAAUAUGCCCAAUAACUUUUUUAUUUAAGGAGAUAAAAAAUAACGAUGUUCAGCAUAAACAUGCAUUUUUGGAUGCCUGAUAAUUUUGUAGAAGAUUUGAAAACUCGGAAUAAUCUGAGAAAAAAGUUAUAACGAAAAUUGUUAUUUUCAGUGUCUCUUCAUAGAAAACUUUAUGUUGCUCGUAAUAUGUAAGACAUAGAAACAUGAUGUCUUCUACAAAGUUUCUUGACUCAAGAUCACCUAAAAUGUUGCCGAAGACAAAACGCUUAUGAGACCGUUCUCUACGGACGCGAGACGUAGACACUACUCGAUGAGGACUAGCAAGCACUCGAAGCUUUCGAGCGACGGGUGCUAAGAAUCAUGUUUGACGGUGUCACGAGCUAGAGCAACUCACUGACGAACUCAGUAUCUCAAAGAUGGUCAAAGCCGGACGGAUACGCUGGGCAGGAUAUGUUGCACGAAGACUGGACAACUACCCUGCUAACGGAUGUUCGCUGGAAAUCUGGUCAGUACACGGCAAAGAGGAGUGCAGCGAGCAAGGUGGUUUAUUGUUUCGACAUUUUCGAGAAAAAUUUGUAAGUUGAUUCUCUUAUCUUUAUUUUUAAAUAGACAUUCUCUUCAUAAAUGUUCAAUUAUUUUUCGCCUUUUCUUUUCAACUUUUGUCGCCUUUUAUAUGUUUUUAUCCAACUUUUUUUUACUUUAUCUCUUUCGUGAAUUAAUCGAUAUUUCUUUUAAAUUUCAAAUUUUUUACUAGUUUUUAAGAUUUUAAAACUUUUUGCCAUUUUUUUAACAUUUUUUUUACGAAAACAAAUACAAACCAAAAAAUAAUAUGCUAUAAUCUAUUGAAAAUUGUCAAAAUUUAAAACAGAACCUAGAUAAAUUCAGAAUUUGGUUUUCCUCAUUAUUUCAAACAAAUUAAUGAACUGGCACAUCCAUUGUUCAAAAUUUCAUUCGAGUUCACCUCAAAUUUGUAGAGCUUGAACCUUGAUGCGAUUUUGAAAGGUGUCCAAAUUCUCUCUCUAAAUACUUUUAUUUUCCUCUGUUAAAAAUAUUUCUGCUUGUGAAAUGUCCGACGUUUCGUACCUUUUUGAAUACAUCUCCAGGAGGCUUGAGAGGUUCAGUGUAAAAUUUCAAUGCUUAAACAGUGCCCCCAUCCGAACACAGAAAACGUUCCUUUUUAUUUGUCUUCACCUAUCAUUCAUUUGACACGGCACUAAAAAAUCUCUAGUUUUCGCUUCCCCUCCACUGCGUACUUUCGGGGCUUUCUAUUCUCAACGAAUGUUUGAAGGUUUUUUGUACCAACAACAAGUAAGCAAAUGCAAGAAUAAACUAGCGAAUCCAAAGAAAAAAACAGUCUAGAAAGCAACACAACAAAAAGGGGAAACUAGGACAAAUUAAACAGUAUCACUCUAAACAAAACUGAUUGUAAAUAGCGCUAAACAAGUGAAAUAUGAAGCAAAAAAUAUCUUAUUGUUUACGUUUAACCACUAAGAAUUUAAAGCGAGCAGAGCUGUGCUGUAAGCGAAAAGGAGAACAAGAGAGCGAGAGAGAACGGAAGAACGAGCAUGCGAGCAAAAGUACAGAAUUGAGACACUGCUGCUGCAGGGAGGGAGAAAAAAGGAAAUCACAUACGGCAUAAUGAAAAUGUUUUUUGGUGUAUUUUAAAACCCCUUAAAAGUUAAGUGAAAUAAAUAAUAGCCAUUAAAUGAGAGAUGAAUAAGUCUUAAUCUGUGAUUACUAUUACAAUUAAAGAACAAAAAAAAAUGAUAAGGAUUUAUUUUGAAGUUAUUUUUUCCCUUGAAAAAAAAAAAAGUUAAAAACUGUUUGAUCAAUCAACAUCCAGUUCUGUUUCCUAUCUAUCAUUUCUGCAACCGAACAUUAAGGAAUGUUAACUAGAAAGAGAGAAAAAAUUGCUCAUUUAGUUGCCCCCGACUCCGGGAAGGAGGGGUGGUGGAGAGUAAGCUUUGGUUGCUCCUUCUCGCCGUAUAGAUCGCCUUUAGGCGAUACCUGUAGGAUCCGGAACCUACUAGGACAACAAAACAACAACCGAUACAGACAGGCAAUGAAUGAGAGAAAAAAGAUUAAACAAACGAGCAACUAAAAGUAGUGAAACGGAAACAGUCUGCAGACAAACAAAAACAAAACAAAAAAAAGUAAAAAGCAGCCAGAAAUCUCCGACGAAUAAUGAUAUAAAUAGUGUGAUGCACAUACAAAAUGCGACGAAAAAAGGCGCGCACGGAGGUGUUAAUUUUAGCAAUUGGAAUGAAACAAUGAACAUGCUAAAUGGAAAAAAAGUAAUAUAAAGAACACGCAUGGAAAUAAUAUUCAAUUAACCAUCUAUGUAUAUGUAUGUAAGCAUAUAAAGGUUUUACUCAUAAUAAUUGAAAUACAAACAAAAAUUGAAAACGUU